rnacentral:rRNA from 1 species
UACAGAGGGUGCAAGCGUUAAUCGGAAUUACUGGGCGUAAAGGGCGCGUAGGCGGCCUAUUAAGUCGGACGUGAAAUCCCUCGGCUCAACCGGGGAACUGCGUCCGAUACUGGUGGGCUUGAGUUCGGGAGAGGGAUGUGGAAUUCCAGGUGUAGCGGUGAAAUGCAUAGAUAUCUGGAGGAACACCGGUGGCGAAGGCGGCAUCCUGGACCGACACUGACGCUGAGGCGCGAAAGCCAGGGGAGCAAACGGG